rnacentral:rRNA from 1 species
CCUACGGGUGGCUGCAGUAGGGAAUAUUGGACAAUGGGCGAAAGCCUGAUCCAGCAAUGCCGCGUGAGUGAUGAAGGCCUUAGGGUUGUAAAGCUCUUUUACCCGAGAUGAUAAUGACAGUAUCGGGAGAAUAAGCUCCGGCUAACUCCGUGCCAGCAGCCGCGGUAAUACGGAGGGAGCUAGCGUUGUUCGGAAUUACUGGGCGUAAAGCGCACGUAGGCGGCGAUUUAAGUCAGAGGUGAAAGCCCGGGGCUCAACCCCGGAACUGCCUUUGAGACUGGAUUGCUAGAAUCUUGGAGAGGCGAGUGGAAUUCCGAGUGUAGAGGUGAAAUUCGUAGAUAUUCGGAAGAACACCAGUGGCGAAGGCGGCUCGCUGGACAAGUAUUGACGCUGAGGUGCGAAAGCGUGGGGAGCAAACAGGAUUAGAUACCCGUGUAGUC